GAUCACUUUGUUUUCACUCACUAUUGUCAGAGGCACAAUCAUUUCAGUUCACAGUUCAGAGACAUGGGGACAGCCUCACCUGGAGCCCCGUGACGUGGACACCCUGCCUGCUCACUCUUCCUGCCCAGUGGAUGUGCACAGCAAGCUGAGCUGUGUGCUUGCCAGCCAGCCUGUCCCAGCUCUGCGUCUCUCCAGCUUCCUUCCUAAAUCACCACCACCACCUGCCCUAGGAGUGGAGCCCUUGGGUUGGAGCCAGCUGAUUGGAUGUGAGCUCUAAGGUGAGCGUUUUGCUCAAGAACUGUAGCUGCUAGAAGGUAUAUAACAUCUCAUUCAGAUGCCAGGAAAAGAAGAAGUGGGGUGGAGAUGUUUGUGCAUCUAACGGGUGGGUGGCGGGAAUGACAAUGACAUAAAUCUCCUAAUUCCAUAAGGACGUGGGACUCUCUGCUGACUGGGUCUUAGAACACUGGUAAAUUGUUCCACAGCAGUAGAAAGGGAUGCGGGGUUUUUAGGACACAUCCUAAGGAGAUCCCAUUCUUGUCGGUAUUCCACGUGCAUGCACAGACAACAGCUAAAAGGAAAUGAUGAUACAUGUUGGGGGUGAGGGAGCCAGUCGCUUUUAAUUUAUUCCUUAUACUUCCUGGAUUAUGUGAGAAAAAUUUAAAUAGCACAUAUUAAUUUAAUAAUCAGAUGGGGAAAAAUAAAGAUCUUAGAAGCUGAGAAAGAAAAUCA
rnacentral:lncRNA from 1 species